GAUGAACGCUGGCGGCGUGCCUAAUACAUGCAAGUCGAGCGAACGGACGAGAAGCCUGCUUCUCUGAUGUUAGUGGCGGACGGGUGAGUAACACGUGGAUAACCUACCUAUAAGACUGGGAUAACUUCGGGAAACCGGAGCUAAUACCGGAUGAUAUUUUGAACCGCAUGGUUCAAAAGUGAAAGACGGUCUUGCUGUCACUUAUAGAUGGAUCCGCGCUGCAUUAGCUAGUUGGUAAGGUAACGGCUUACCAAGGCAACGAUGCAUAGCCGACCUGAGAGGGUGAUCGGCCACACUGGAACUGAGACACGGUCCAGACUCCUACGGGAGGCAGCAGUAGGGAAUCUUCCGCAAUGGGCGAAAGCCUGACGGAGCAACGCCGCGUGAGUGAUGAAGGUCUUCGGAUCGUAAAACUCUGUUAUUAGGGAAGAACAUAUGUGUAAGUAACUGUGCACAUCUUGACGGUACCUAAUCAGAAAGCCACGGCUAACUACGUG
rnacentral:rRNA from 1 species